rnacentral:pre_miRNA from 1 species
AUAAUACUCCCUCCAUCCGGAAAUACUUGUCGCAGAAAUGCAUAAAAAUGGAUGUAUCUAGAAUUAAAAUAUGUCUAGAUACAUCCAUUCCUCCGACAAGUAUUUCUGGACGGAAGGAGUAGCAU